rnacentral:rRNA from 1 species
AGAGUUUGAUCCUGGCUCAGAACGAACGCUGGCGGCGUGCCUCAUACAUGCAAGUCGUGCGAGAAAGCCCGCUUCGGUGGGUGAGUAAAGCGGCGAACGGGUGCGUAACACGUGAGUAAUCUGCCCUGAGGUGGGGGAUAAGCUCCCGAAAGGGGGUCUGAUACCGCAUAACAUUCCCUGGAGGCAUUUUCGGGGAAUCAAAGAUGGCCUCUAUUUAUAAGCUAUCUCCGCAGGAUGAGCUCGCGCUCCAUUAGCCUGUUGGUAGGGUAACGGCCUACCAAAGCCACGAUGGAUAGCCGGCCUGAGAGGGUGAACGGCCACACUGGGACUGAGAUACGGCCCAGACUCCUACGGGAGGCAGCAGUAGGGAAUAUUGCGCAAUGGACGAAAGUCUGACGCAGCAACGCCGCGUGUGGGAUGAAGCUCUUUGGAGUGUAAACCACUGUCGGGAGGGACGAACGAUUAUGGCUCUAACAUAGCUAUAGUUUGACGGUACCUUCAAAGGAAGCUCCGGCUAACUCCGUGCCAGCAGCCGCGGUAAUACGGGGGGAGCAAGCGUUGUUCGGAAUCACUGGGCGUAAAGGGUGCGCAGGCGGGAGAUUAAGUCGGAUGUGAAAACCUCGGGCUCAACCCGAGGCCUGCAUUUGAAACUGAUCUUCUUGAGUAUCGGAGAGGAAAGCGGAACUCCAGGUGUAGCGGUGAAAUGCGUAGAUAUCUGGAGGAACACCUGUGGCGAAGGCGGCUUUCUGGCCGAAUACUGACGCUCAUGCACGAAGGCUAGGGGAGCAAACAGGAUUAGAUACCCUAGUAGUCCUAGCGGUAAACGAUGGGCACUAGGUGUCGGGGGUAUCGACCCCCACGGUGCCGCAGCAAACGCAUUAAGUGCCCCGCCUGGGGAGUACGGCCGCAAGGCUGAAACUCAAAGGAAUUGACGGGGGCCCGCACAAGCAGUGGAGUAUGUGGUUUAAUUCGAUGCAACGCGAAGAACCUUACCUGGGCUUGACAUGUACUGGAAAGCUUCAGAGAUGAAGUCCCUCCGAAAGGAGUCGGUGCACAGGUGCUGCAUGGCUGUCGUCAGCUCGUGCCGUGAGGUGUUGGGUUAAGUCCCGCAACGAGCGCAACCCCUGUCCCUAGUUGCCAACGUAAAGUCGGGAACUCUAGGGAGACAGCCGGUGAUAAGCUGGAGGAAGGUGGGGAUGACGUCAAGUCCUCAUGGCCCUUACGCCCAGGGCUACACACGUACUACAAUGGCCGGUACAGAGGGUCGCAAGACCGCGAGGUGGAGCCAAUCCUAAAAACCGGUCUCAGUUCAGAUUGGAGUCUGCAACCCGACUCCAUGAAGGUGGAAUUGCUAGUAAUCGCGGAUCAGCUGGUCGCGGUGAAUACGUUCCCGGGCCUUGUACACACCGCCCGUCAAGCCAUGGAAGCCGGGAGUACCCGAAGCCACCUUGUUAACCCGCAAGGGAAACGGGUGUCUAAGGUAAAACCGGUGACUGGGGCUAAGUCGAAACAAGGUA